GCUACGGUGGUUCAGUGGAAGAAUUCUCACCUUCCAUGCGGGAGACCUGGGUUCGAUUCCCAGCCAAGGCA
rnacentral:tRNA from 1 species